rnacentral:sRNA from 1 species
AAAGCUCUAACCCACACACGUAUCGACACGGUGACCUGGGUGCCCCGAUCCACGGAUCGCGGGUUGGUCAUUGGGAUGCGUGGAGGCCCAACC